UUGGACAUCAACUUCUCGUGCCGAUAGAAAAGAGAGAGAAGAGGCUCCUCGUCUCUCUCUCUNNNNNNNNNNNNNNNNNNNNNNNNNNNNNNNNNNNNNNNNNNNNNNNNNNNNNNNNNNNNNNNNNNNNNNNNNNNNNNNNNNNNNNNNNNNNNNNNNNNNCUCUCUCCUCCUCUCUCUCUCUCUCUCUCUCUCUCUCUCUCUCUUUAUCUCUAUCUCUCAUAGAUAGUAACAAACAUAGGGCCAGGAUAAGUCACUGUUCAUUCGAUAGGGGCAUCUUUUGCAUCAUUUCAGGUCGAAAUUGGCUCCUUCUCCUCUAAGUUUGUCUCUUGCAAGGCAAUUCCGACGGAGGCAUGCAUAUUCUCGACUACAGGCUCAUUGGAGCUUAGGAUACGAUUAGAAGAGAACUAAUGUUUAUUUAUGGAACUCAAUUAUGGUACUGAAGUCAACGUGGCUGUUUCAAGAUUAUUAUAAGAAAAUAAUUUAUCAAAUUGAGCAGGCUCCUCAUUGUGCAGCAAAAAGUUUCCAUUACUGUACUAUUUUUGAAAUUUUCGGGGAACAAAAAUUUUCGGGGCGGCGGGCGGUAAUGAUUCGUGAUAGAAACGAACUAUCCGGAACAUAAAAAGGAACAUGCCGACUAGAAUUCGAGGCAAAUUCGUAUCUACGUUCAAAGUGAUUGCCUUCAUUUGAUUGACUUAUGUAAUCAUUUUUUAAAUUUUUUUUAGCAUCUAGAGAUGCUGGAAUAUAGCCAAAAGGCCUAGUGCCUAUUGCUUGUCCGAGCCAUGCCGGGGGGGGGGUGGAUAGACGGUCGAUAACUGGAAUCCCUGCUUAGAGGACCCACCGCGGGGUGAGUGCGGAGCUCGUGGAGCGGCCCACGGCCAAAACAUCACAUCCCGUCGGCCAGCUCGGCCGAUGGCGCUUUCUCGGGUCCGAGGGGACCGUGCAGCGGAGAUAGCAAGGACCUAGCAGCGAAGCGUCAAUUAUGAUUUGAUGGCCUACGCCACUCUAGCAUCCGUCGACGUGGGCUUCCUCCAUAACGGUGGCCGAGGUAGCUCUGAAUUCCUCCCCCCGUUUCAAUCACCGCCCUCCGCCUCGUCGCCAGCUUCUUUUUCUCGUCCUCCUUCCUGUCUUCUGGUUUUGUCUUCCCCUACCAUGGAACGUCCCCCAACGAAGGGGCAGGUUCCAUCCGCCUCUUCAGCCGGCGGUAGCUUCCCGAUCAUGGCUAUCUCCGUAAUCGGGAUCAUCUUGACGGCUGUCGUUCUGGUUAUCUACUACGUGUUCGUCAUCCAGAGCUGUGUCGAGUGGCGGGGGUUCAUCGGAGUCCUCUCCAAUUCACGGUCACAACGACGGCGGUGGCGCAACCGGGACCCCAUCACGGUGUACGUGCCCAGCGCCGGGAGACGUGGACUCGAGGAGGCAGUGAUCCGGGCCAUCCCUAUCUUCCAGUUCAAGAUGUCCGGUUUUCUCCGCGACUGCGUCGUCUGUCUCAGCGAAUUCGAGGAGGGGGAGAGGCUCAGACAGCUUCCCAGGUGCUCUCACGUCUUCCACAUAGACUGCAUCGAUGUGUGGCUCCAGAACAACGUCAAGUGCCCCAUCUGCCGGUUGGAUAUCGCCUUUGGGGGGCAAGCAAUACAGGAAAGAGAGAGAGGCCUCGAUGGCAGCGGCGGGCGGAUCAGGCCGUUGGUUGAGCCAUCAAUUCAGCAGCAGGAGACCGUCCCCGCCUCUGAGCGAGGAAGAUUCAAGCAGGUCCGCAGCAUGGGCGACGAGUGCAUCGACGUGAGGAGUAAGGAGGAUCGGCUGUAUGUGCAGCCCAUGAGGAGGUCCCUCUCGAUGGACUCCUCCCACAGGCAUCUCCACGUUUCCAUUCAGGUCAUCGCCAGCGGGGAAGGCAGCAGUAACGUCCCUACCCCCGCCUGGGCCCGGCGGCUGUUCUUCUCCUUGGGUCGGAGCUCCCAGGGGGCAGUCCUCCCAAUCCCCGUAGAACCUUGUUUGGAGCCACGUCGAUUUCUUUUUCAGUCUAGCAGACGGACGCCUUAAUCGGGGUUUCAUCAGGGAUUAAAUGCUGUUAAAUUGUGUUGAUGUAAGUUGAAGAUGCUCUCUCUCUCUCUCUCUAUCUCUCCCUCUCUCCCAUAUCGCUUCUUCUUCCUUCGCGAAUCAUGGUUAAGUGAGUCAGAUAGUUUGCCCUCGGAAAACGAGACUGUCAUAAUCAUGGUAUCCCAUUAAUUCUGCCCUUUGAGAGGGUAAUGUUUGGUAGCAAAGAUGGCGGACAUCUCAUGCAAUGACAAGGACCUUCCUCCUACGCCGACAAAACGUCAAGCCCCUUGGGCAAUACAACAAAAAGUCAACUCCCAUUAAACAUCUCAAAAGUCAACGAAUUAGCUGGACAACUGUUCGAAUGGCUUCAAGAGAGUCUAAACCUCACCCCGCAGUUGUAUGCUUGGGAAAUCACGGGGGACAACCGCUGCCACUAAAGUAACCUACAACGUGAUCAAUACUCCGAAUCCGGAACUUUUUCGGGCUGGAUACAGGUUGGUGAGACAGCAUCACUUAUAGCAAAUGGUUAUCAGUCUCUCUCUCCCUCCCNNNNNNNNNNNNNNNNNNNNNNNNNNNNNNNNNNNNNNNNNNNNNNNNNNNNNNNNNNNNNNNNNNNNNNNNNNNNNNNNNNNNNNNNNNNNNNNNNNNNACUAUCAUCUCUCUCUCUCUCUCUCCCUCCUCUCUCUCUCUUACCAGAGGCAUCAGCACCCACGAGAGCUUGCUCAGAUUCUUUGAGGACCGAGGAGAGAAGGGUUCCCGAUCAAGCAGGCUAUCGACCGCGAGGAAGGCCACAUUCAAGGAGGAUCAUGGUAAGCUGCGGCGGCGCCGCCGCUCUCCGACUCCGCCGGCGGCGACUCUGUUUUCUGAGUAUCUUUUCGGAUGAAACAGGGGGGCUUAGAGGAAGGAGAUGGCGAAGGGCGGUGGCCGCCAUGGCUGAAGCCGCUGCUCUCCGCGCAGUUCUUCAAGCAAUGCAAGCUCCACGCCGACUCCCACAAGAGCGAGUGCAACAUGUUCUGCCUCGACUGCGUCAAUGGCGCCCUCUGCUCCGUCUGCCUCGCCUUCCACCAUCGCGACCACCGCACCAUCCAGGUUCCCCCUCCACACCCAUUUCCGCAUUCAUUCUCCUCCGUUGACCCUUCUCCCCCCUGGUCAAUCCCUUCCCCUUCGGAAAUCAACUCCCACUGUGCAUUCGUCGAUUUCCAGCUCUGGUUUCUCUCUCUUCCUCUCUCUCUCUCUCCCACCCACUUCCACAUUCGGCCUCUCUCCCCUUUCUUGACCCUUCUGUCCCAUGGUCAACCCUUCCUCUUCAAAAAUCAGACCCCAUUGGGCAUUCAUCGAUUACCAGCUAUGGUUUCUCUCUCUCUCUCUCAAUGCCUGUUAUUGGCGGCGGAGGGGUUGACCGAGGUGUUUCGUGGGCGUGGCAGAUACGGAGGUCGUCGUACCACGACGUGAUCAGGGUUUCGGAGCUGCAGAAGGUCCUGGACAUCGGCGGCGUUCAGACGUACAUCAUCAACAGCGCCCGCGUCGUCUUCCUCAACGAGCGCCCGCAGCCCAGACCCGGAAAGGGCGUCACCAACACCUGCGAGGUCUGCGACCGCAGCCUCCUCGACUCCUUCCGCUUCUGCUCCCUCGGCUGCAAGGUCAACGCCCCCCCUCCCAUUCUCCACCUCCUCCUCUCCCUUCUUUUCUAAAAAUGCAUCAUAUAUCGCCCCUUCCAUAUCAGUUCUCAGAUUCUAUCCGUUCUUGGGCUUUGAAUGGUCGAACGAUCUCGCAUUGUAUCGCUCUCGAUCACUCGACUCCGAGCUUGACGGUCCUCUUUGAUCUCCCAGAUUGCGGGGACUUCGAGGAACUUCCAGAGGCACAGCAAGAACAAGAAGCGGGCGGCGGCGGCGGCGGGGGGCUCUGACUCGGAAGAGUCGUCGAUCACGGCGAAGAGCGACAAGAGCAACACUCAGAGCUUCACCCCCUCCACGCCGCCGGCAACCUGCGUCAACUACCGCACCAACAAGCGCCGCAAGGGCGUCCCCCACAGAGCUCCCCUCGGCAGCCUCAUUGCAGAGUAUUACUAGCCACCCGUCACCAGAGAAUCCCUUCUAAAAAUACACAUAUAUAGAUACAUAAAUAGCUACCUAUACAGAUAUAGAUAGAGGGAGAUCCCCCUCCACCUCGUGCUUCUUCGGACAUGGGAGGCCAGGUGGCGGCGGCUGUCAUGUAGAUAUCACAGCAGAUCUCCCCGGAGGAGAAGGUCCGUGGCCAUUAGAGAGAGAGAGAGAGAGAGAGAGAGAGAGAGAGAGAGUAGAGAGAGAAGGGGAUAGCGGAUCUUUCUUUCUUUCUUUCUUUCUUUCUUUGGUGGCUCGAUGAUGUAAAUGUGGGUGAAGGUGGUGGGUUUUAGAGAGAGAGAGAGAGGAGAGAGAGAGAAAUGUAGAGAGAGAAGAGGGUGUAGUUUAUGUGAUAGAAAAGAUAUAUAUGGACAUACACAGUUUGGUCAGUGGAAGACUCGGGCGGCGUGGGUCGCCGGCGGCCCCGCCGCCGCCUCCUGGUUGGAAUCUUCGCGCCAGUCGCCGCUGACUGGUGGCGGGUGGGCGUUGGAAUAGCUACGAAAGCCCCUCGAAAUAACUUCAACCAACCAUAUACUGACACGUGUAAAUGUAAGUCAGCACUCAACGACCGAGCGCCGUAUCAUUACGGCUGUGCAUGCGUCAUCGCCCCGAUGAACGGCUCGCCUGAUACCACGUGUGAAAAGGGCCCCUAGGCUUCCCUAAUAAGCCACGUGUUUAUUUUUCUGACUGGGGCCCACUUGGGUCUCGUUGUCUCAUCUGUCAGAUUUCCUGAAAGGGCCGGGCCGGGAUCAGGCCUAGGUGAAUAAUGGGCUAGGCCCGAAUUUUUUUGGGCCGGUUGCGGUCCAUUGGGCCGCACCGAGCAGAGAGGAAUCCCAUAUUUUACACGCAUUAUAAAUUAUAUUUAUAAUUUUUUGUAGCGAAUUUUCGGCAUGGGCGUUGAAUGACGAAAAUUACGAUCAUAGAGAGAGAAAGGGGGAGAGAGAGAGAGAGAGAGAGGAGGAGAGAGANNNNNNNNNNNNNNNNNNNNNNNNNNNNNNNNNNNNNNNNNNNNNNNNNNNNNNNNNNNNNNNNNNNNNNNNNNNNNNNNNNNNNNNNNNNNNNNNNNNNAGAGAGAGAGAGAGAUGUAAACCUGUUGUGAUCGUGUGAAAGGAGGCUGAAUUGGUCGUUUUCUUUGUCCGCGUGCUUCGUCCGGGCAAGGUCGAUGGCCGUGGGAAAGGGGCGUUCGAACUCGACCCAAUCUAAACGCCGAGGAGUCGGUAAAGAAUAUUCUGAAAUUUUUGACUUUCCGAUUCAUCGCCGACCCCCGGGAUGGAUUAAAGUCAACCACAUUAGGACCCGCUCUCUCCCUCCCCACCCACGUUGCGCGAGAGUUCCGGUGAGUAACGAGCCGUCGACGAAGACGGCCUCCGGGGAGCCGACUGGCCAUCUCGGUCAACCUCCUCUUCUUCUUCUUCCACGACUCGGAAAAGACUCGUGUGAAGGCAGGCGAGCACGCCCUCGUGUUGUUAUCAUCCGCUGACCGAAGAGGUCGUCCCGAUAUCUGAUUCUGUCCACGUGGCGCGUUCUCUCUCGUCCCCAACCCGGAGGACCAGACAGGCUUUUCUUCCCGCCAGGGGCAGCGCCGUAAUGAAUGCGCCCCCUACGUUUGAAUUGAAGGGGGGACAGCCUGAAUACCGGCGAAAGGAAGAAAUGGGACCCGUUCAUCGGCUUUCUCGACUCUUCUCCGCCGCCGCCUUAUCGAUCGUUGACCGCGAUCCACCCAGGCGAUCCCGAAAAUUCACAGCGCCCCUUUGGCGAGAGUCCCAGACGUUUGACUUACCCGCCAGAAACCGGAGGUGUUCCGGGCGGUUGACGAGUGACAGGAAACCCUACUGAGAUUUAGUAAUCGAAAGGUCGGCAAACGGGAGAUGUUCUCACGGGAUGCUCGUUCUUCCACUCCGUCCUUCCCGUGUCUCGCCCUCUUCCAUAAACCAGACCGCGUCAACCUCACCGGCGCGGCCCUCGGGAGCCUUCACGAGAUAAAUGGGCCCAUCGAUUUCAACUCGGAUUUUCUUACUAUUUUUUCUUGUUUAAUCAAUCAGAUUCACAGUUCGCCCGCCGCCCGACGGGCUUCAACAUCGGACCGGUGAAGACGGGGAAAGGAGCCGCCGCCGGCGUCCCGCGAUGGGCUGCCGUAGUUCCGUGGGCGGCGGCGGCGACUUGGUGGUGGAAGUGGACGGGACGGGUUAGAGAUGACGAUAGGCGGUCGAAAGAAGGCCAGCCGCCGCACCCCCGUCUUUGAACGGCCAAGUGGCCUCGGUGGGCGCGAUCUGCCACGCGGAUCGGUCUAACCUCGUGAGCGCGUCCAACGUCUCAUUAAUUACGUGGGGAUUAAGUUAGAUUAGUGACAACUACGUCUCCUCUCUCUUUUAAGAUGCUUCUUACUCAUCUUUAUUUUAUUUUUCUCGCUUUUUCAAAGCCCUCUUAUUUUGCAACACAACCUCGCUGAUUUUUUAGAACGCAUUUCGGUUUUUUCGGGGGAAUUAGUCAACGCCUGGAUUAAGAUAAUAUGCGUGAUUGAAUAAAAAUACGCGUGACGCCGCAUUUUCCUGCGCUAAUUUCCAAAACGUCACUUGGUCGAUUUCACGCGAAUCGGCGUCGACCCGGGUGGUGGAAAUGACGUGGCUUCCGGCGAUUUCAACGCUUCAAUAGAGGAGCGUUGCUCGCGUACUCGUCCUAACCUGUUCGAGAUCUUUCGAUCCGUUGACUUCUAUCAAUCAUAGAAUCGGGACCAACGUAGCGUCUCUGCGUCAGCGGGCAAACCGGCUAGAAGAAGCCCCCUUCAAUAUCCGAUUAUAUUAUUCCCCGUAUGUACGUUUGCGCGUCUACCAAAUCCAAACCAUUAUUAAGAAAGUUGACCAAAACCUUCGCCGACAAGAUUAUAAAAAUGGGGAUAAAUAUUUGAAAUCGGAAGCCCGUCCCCGUAUCGGAAGUCAACGACGCUUCCGUCGUACUCUUGAAAUCUUGGCCUGUAGCUGAUCGAUCAGCAUUCCAUCGCCGCCGUAACGCGAUCACCGGCGGCGGCUUCAGCUCCCACUGUUCCUGCCGUUGACAUGGGUUAGUUUUUGUCGUCCCGGUUACGGAGCUAACGGCGACCGCGGGAGGGUCUGCUUCCUCUGGACCGCCACGUCGCCGUCCUCCGUCGUGGUGUCGCGUUCGCAGUUUCCACGGUUCAAUUUGCUCCGGCGUGAGGACAAACAGAGACAGCUACAGCUUUUCGAAGUCGGUCGCGGGGGGUUGGGUGAAGAGAAGGGGGACGAGGGCCUUCCGACCUUUGACUUGAUUGCUUCCCGGAGCUCUGCGCCGGAAGUCACCGGCGAUCUCCGGUUAAAGACUCCGGUUCCUGCCCCCCACCACCUGCCUCCCCCGAUCGGAGUUCCUCGGAGACAUAUAAAAAAAAGAAAAUGUAAUAGUCAAAAAAUCUAGGUCCCUCGACGACGGCGACUGGGAGUCCCCCGCUCCUCUUCCUCUCCCUCUCCCUCUUCCNNNNNNNNNNNNNNNNNNNNNNNNNNNNNNNNNNNNNNNNNNNNNNNNNNNNNNNNNNNNNNNNNNNNNNNNNNNNNNNNNNNNNNNNNNNNNNNNNNNNGGGGGGGCGGGGAUUUAGCUUUAUCAGAUGACUUCUCCACUAUUCCAUAUAUUCCUCUAAAACUAAUUUCACUCAAUUUUUAAUGCGCAUGGAUUAUUCUCUCAGCACAUGUUCCGGAAAUGAGCUAACUCGUUUUCUAUUUAAAGUUGAUGCAUCGCGCAUCUCUCAGAUUUCUGUUCCAUUUUUGCAUUGCUUGCUUUUUUUUUCUUUUUUCUUUUUUUCUGUACUCAGAGCAUCCAGAUUAAAUGGGCCAGGUCCCUCCAAGUAGCUUACAUUAUAUAUAUUUCUAUGUUUGCUUGCUGUGAAUAGCUUUAUGCCGAAUCUCUGGCACGUUUUGGAGGGGGUUCGCCGUACAUUUAUCCUUUAUAUGGCUUGGGGGAGCUACCGCAGGCGAGCAGCUCUCGUGCCCUUUCAGCUCUCUAAUUUACAUAAUUCACGUUUUUUUUUUAGUUUUCUAUUGAUAGAGCGCAAUAAACUCUUCAGGCCUUUGCUCGCCUGAGUGCCGUCUAUGGUGGAACAUACAUGCUAAACAAACCAGAAUGCAAGGUAUUUUUUUUUACAAUAAAGUUAUUUUACAGCCUCUACUUUAUUGGAUUAUCUUGUGGAGAUUAUCAUUGUAGAUGGUAAGAUUGUGGCCUAAGAUUCGUCGGCGCAAUAUAUUAAUUUUUCUGCCCUCUGAAUCUAUGCUGGUGCUGGUGAAUUCAAAGAAUUUGCCACUUCUCUGAGAUAUAUCUUGGUCUAUAUUAUGUUUCCCUACUUAUAUCAAUAUUUAUAUUAUUCUUGUGUAUACUUAGUUCUAUCUAUCUUUUAUCAUUAUUAUUUGGAUAUUUUGCUUUAAUUCAAUAUCUGAUUUAUCAGUGAACAUCAUUGGCGAUCUAUUCUUGCUGGGAUUUUAAAAAAAUUUGAAGAUAUUUCAAAGUAUUCUCUCUCCUCCCUACCAAACCUCUCAUGCCUUCUACAUAUGUGUAAUUUUCUUUUUUUUUGAUGAUCAGCGUAAUAAGUAUGCACCUAAUAUUUAUGCCAUAACAGUAGAUACCUAUGUAUGGAACCUAUGAUUUAUUCACGUGGGGAUCUUCCUUUUGCCGAGAAAUAUUUAAUAUGAACUUGGAGAUAAAUAUCAUAUAUAAUAUUAUAUAUAUAUGCCUUCUACAUGUAUUUAUUAUGAACUUGGAGAUAAAUUUAUGAAAUAUAUUGGCCGCCGAAUGCCGCAGGUGGAGUUCGACGAGGAAGGCAAAGUCUGCGGCGUGACCUCCGAAGGGGAAACUGCCAGGUGCAAGAAGGUCGUCUGCGAUCCGUCCUACUUGCCAAACAAGGUAAUGGCGUCAUGCUUUCUAGUCAACUGUGGGCCCCCAGUGGCGUUGACUUGCGUUCCAACUCCCCAACGCAGGUGAGGAAGAUCGGAAAAGUCGCCAGGGCCAUCGCCAUCAUGAGCCAUCCGAUCCCGAACACGGACGAUUCCCACUCGGUGCAGGUCAUCCUCCCGCAGAAGCAGCUGGGGCGCAGAUCGGACAUGUGAGUUCCGCCGCGCCUGACCGCCGAGCCUCCGCCCCGUUACCGAGCUGAAUCGUCCGUGUCGUCCUCAACAGGUACGUCUUCUGCUGCUCCUACACCCACAACGUGGCCCCCAAGGGCAAGUUCAUAGCGUUCGUCUCCACGGAGGCCGAGACCGACCACCCCGAGACGGAGCUGAAGCCGGGCGUCGCCCUCCUGGGCCCCGUGGACGAGAUCUUCUACGAAACCUAUGACAGAUACGAGCCCGUGAACGAGCCCACGCUGGAUAACUGCUUCAUCUCGACCGUGAGCGGGCUCCUCGAAGAAUCUUCUCUCUCUUCUUCUUUCAGACCCGCGGGCCUCCCUCUCUUCCUGAGCUUCUUGCUGUCUGCUUCUUCCUUGCAGAGCUACGACGGCACGACCCACUUCGAGACGACCGUCCGGGAUGUUCUGAGGAUGUACACCAUGAUCACCGGCAAGGUGAGGGCCGCUCUCUCUCAUCUCCUGCGCCGCUCCUUUUUUUUUUUUUUUCUUGUUUUGUUGCUGCGGCUGCUCUCUCUCGGGCUUCGGCUUCGUCCUCUGGAGGGUGAUGGGGCUGCGAAAUCCGCCAUGAACGGCCAGAGCUUUCGCUCAUCGCGUUCUUCGCUGCUCCUGGGCUGUGGGUUUCUUCGGUUGCGACUGAUAUGGGCUCAUCGCGCGGUUGGCUGCAGGCUGUUGAUCUGAGCGUUGACCUGAACGCAGCGAGUGCCGCCGAAGAGUAGGUUGGGGCCAAGGGCGGCUCCUAUGCCCCGCUCGCCCUUUGAUCGACUUCUCCCAGGAAUUGGGGUUCAUUUAUUCUUGCAGAAAAUUGGAACCGCGUGUGAUGCGACGCUGUAUGGAUUCUGUGGCCGUUGAACCCUCUCUCUCUCUCUUCUCUCUCUCUCUCUCUNNNNNNNNNNNNNNNNNNNNNNNNNNNNNNNNNNNNNNNNNNNNNNNNNNNNNNNNNNNNNNNNNNNNNNNNNNNNNNNNNNNNNNNNNNNNNNNNNNNNAUUUAUAAAGCACAAGCUGAAACAGGUGAAAUUAAAGGGCAUUACUUAAAUGCUACUGCAGGUACUUGUGAAGAAAUGAUCAAAAGGGCUGUGUUUGCCAGAGAAUUGGGAGUCCCUAUUGUAAUGCAUGACUACUUGACAGGGGGAUUCACUGCAAAUACUAGUUUAGCACAUUAUUGCCGAGACAACGGCCUACUUCUUCACAUCCACCGUGCAAUGCAUGCAGUUAUUGAUAGACAGAAAAAUCAUGGUAUGCAUUUCCGUGUACUAGCUAAAGCAUUACGUAUGUCUGGUGGGGAUCAUAUUCACGCUGGUACAGUAGUAGGUAAACUGGAAGGUGAACGUGAGAUGACUUUAGGUUUUGUUGAUUUAUUACGUGAUGAUUAUAUUGAAAAAGACCGAAGUCGUGGUAUUUUCUUCACUCAAGAUUGGGUCUCUAUGCCAGGUGUUAUACCUGUGGCUUCAGGGGGUAUUCAUGUUUGGCAUAUGCCUGCCCUGACCGAGAUCUUUGGAGAUGAUUCCGUACUACAGUUUGGUGGCGGAACUUUAGGACACCCUUGGGGAAAUGCACCUGGUGCAGUAGCUAACCGUGUAGCUUUAGAAGCGUGUGUACAAGCUCGUAAUGAGGGACGUGAUCUUGCUCGUGAAGGUAAUGAAAUUAUCCGUGAAGCUUGCAAAUGGAGUCCUGAACUAGCCGCUGCUUGUGAAGUUUGGAAAGCGAUCAAAUUUGAGUUCGAACCAGUAGAUAAGCUAGAUGUUAAAGGCUAAGCUUACAUAAUUCAGUAAUUCCUGUUUGUUCUCCUAAUUGCAAUUAAACUCGGCCCAAUCUUUUACUAAAAAGGAUUGAGCCGAAAAAAAUGAGGAUCCUUAUGUAUUUUGUAUUUGCAUAUAUCUUUUUUGUGCAUAUAUCUUUCUUUUAUGUAUUAAUAUAUACAGAAUGUACAGGGACAAGGACCUUACUUACAAUCCAUAUAUACACGAUAUAAAUACAAGAUAAGAUCUAAGUUAAGGUUAAACAACAAAAUACUUCUUUUUGUUAUGUUGGAUACAUAAUAAAUCCUAUGGAUCCUUGGGAUUGGUGGAUUAGUUAAUAUACCAGAGUUGCAGACCAUAGCUCAAGCUAGGGCAGGGUGCCUUCUACUGAUCCUGUAUAUUGUCUUUUUCGUUCCGUGUUCCCAUGGAAUGGUACACGAGAAUGAAUUCAGGAAAUGAGUAUUUAUACUUUUAAUGAGAAUUUGUACACAAUAUGAGAAGAAACCCUUCUUUUUUGCUAUUAUAAUUGAGGAAAAGAUUCCAUUAUUUAAAUCAUAAACCUAAAUCAUAUAAAUCAUAAUCUAUAUUGAUAUUGAAAUUAUACCCCGGAUUCCACAACACAAAAGAAAAUUAGUUCUUUCAAUUAAAUACUUAUUCAUAUUAGUUAACGGUCCAAACAAAACGGCUGAAUCCAUAUGCUUAAUUCCGAUACGAAAUCCGAAAUCCAAUAGUAAAAUAAUUAUUUAUCGAAUGACUAUUCAUCUAUUAUAUUUUCAAAUAAGGGGCGGGAAGACUCUAUGGAAAAAUGGUGGUUCAAUUCGAUGUUCUCUAAUGAGAAGUUAGAACACAAGUAUAGGUUAAGUAGAUCGAUGGAUAGUCUUGGUCCUAUUAGAUAUACCAGUGGAAGUGAAGACCCGGUUUUAAAUGCUAUGGAUAAGAACGUUUCCAGUUGGAAUGAAAGUGGGAGUUGUAAUUUCAGUAAUGUUGAGCAUUUUUUUGAUAUCAUAGACAUUUGGAGUUUCAUUUCUGACGACACUUUUUUAGUUAGGGAUAGUAAUGGGGACAAUUUUUCUAUAUAUUUUGAUAUUGAAAAUCAGAUUUUUGAGAUUGACAAUAAUAGUACUUUUAUGAAUGAACUAGAAAGUUCUUUUUCUAGUUACCAGAAUUCUAGUUAUAUGAAUAGUGGAUCUAAAAGUAGUAGUCGCUACUAUUAUCCUUACAUGUAUGAUACUCAAUCUAGUUGGAAUAAUCAUAUAAAUAGUUGCAUUGAUAGUUAUCUGCGUUUUGAAAUCAGUAUUGAUAGUUACAUUUCAGGUGAGACCCAUAAUUAUAGUGAUAAUUAUGUUUAUAAUUUCAUUUGUAAUGAAAGUAUAAGUGGUAGUGAAAGUAGUAAUUCUGGUAUCAGAACUAGUGUUAAUGGCAGUGAUUUCAAUAUAAGAGGAAGAUCUAAUGAUUUAGAUAUAAAUAAAAAAUACAGACAUUUAUGGGUUCAGUGCGAAAAUUGUUAUGGAUUAAAUUAUAAAAAAUUUUUUAGGUCAAGACUGAAUAUUUGUGAACACUGUGGAUAUCAUUUGAAAAUGAGUAGUUCAGAGAGAAUCGAACUUUUAAUUGAUCCGGGCACCUGGGAUCCUCUGGAUGAGAAUAUGGUCUCGACAGACCCCAUUN
rnacentral:lncRNA from 1 species